GGCACAACGACCAAAUUAAAAGCAGCAUACAGGUUCCAAAUUCCUAAAAUAGGUAAAACAUCCACAAAAUUACGCGCCUGUUGCUUGCAGAACGUCGACCAACGGAAAAGAGAAGCCGGAAAAACGCGCGAUUUGCGUGGUUAGAUCAAAGAACAAAACAGAUAGGGUUGGGCUCUUCUAACGAAUCGCACAUGGCUAAUAGGGGCUGUAUGUAACUGGAAAAUUUUAUAAUAAAUUGAUGUAUCUGGAUAACAAUCGUCGAGAUUUUCUACAUAAAAUUUUAAGAAAACUAGUAGGUGCUGGAAAUUUUCCCAGUCGAGGUAUCGAUACUGCGAAUAAAAUUGAUAGUCAAUAUAUAGCUCAACCCUACAGAUAACCAAAGUAUCCUAUCGGGUGGUACCAUCGAUCGCAGAAUAGUUGCGCACUUUGCCGUGUGAUUCGAAUGUAUUUAUUAGUAAAAAAAAAGGAAUGCGAAGAAAUAUUAAAUUAUGAGCUGCUAUUAAAUGGCAUGAAAACAGUGACGGUAUUUAGGGAGCGAAAUAAAACUCCUCUGAACAUGCAAAAAUGCGAAACUUAACGCGCUUUACUAGUUGCCUACUAGACGUAGUGGUGAUCAACGAACCACCAACGCAUAUCGGCUGAUAGACGUAUGAAUAAAUAACCUCUCGGUCAGAUCAAUAUUAUUCAAUAUUAUUUACUUCGCAAAGAUUGACUUUAAAACAAACAGCCGUAUCUCGAACAAUAGCAAAACAACAAUACCGUGAAAGGAGUCUUUUCGAUAUCCUGCCGCUAUACCAUUACAUACUUAUACAUUCGAACACAGAGGAAAAGGAUAACAUUCGCAAGAGAGAAAGAAGAAAGCAAUCAGAAACAUAAAGUAAUAUUAAUUUGAAGGAAAGUACCAAACACACUAGAAGGCAAUUAGCACGAGAAGCGUGAUUUAAUUAAUAAAACCCAAAUACACAAGUAAUUCUUUACUUUACUGAAACUAUGACCUAAGGUCGAACUUGGAACGUAACAUGAUAAUUGAAAAAAUGAAUUAUAUGUAUUAUUACCGAUUACAAUUUUUUGACGAUUUUUGACGAUUUGACGUUUACCAUUGUUCAUUUAAAUAUUUAGACUGAGCUUCUGUUAAAUAAUGUGUUGGGUUAUGAUUAGAUAUAUCAAACAAAUUCUCAAGGCGAUUUUUAAAUGUAUGCUACUUAAUUUUUUGUUUGAGUUGUCUUUUUUAUUUUUUUUGAAAAGUUCCCACUCUCGAUAAGCUUUCAUAAUUUUAGUAAUAGCGCUAUAUAGUUGAUAGACAGGAAUACCAGUAGGUUUCCAAACUUUCAUAAAUCACGAAUCACUUCAUCAAAACACUGUCGAAUUGUGAGGUUAGAAUCUGUAUGCUUGUAGAAAAAUAAUUGUAAAACUUUUCUUUUCUCGGUGAUUUUCAUUUACUUAAUUUUCUACAAGAAAAAGCAACCAAAUACAUUUUCUUUUCAGCCAUUUUACUGAUAAUAAUUGAAAUUACUGAGAGCUUUAAACAACGACAAUACACAAUAUUUUUUUAAUAUGUGUUGCAGACACUGAUAAUUUGA